rnacentral:rRNA from 1 species
CCUACGGGAGGCAGCAGUAGGGAAUAUUGCUCAAUGGGGGAAACCCUGAAGCAGCAACGCCGCGUGGAGGAUGAAGGUUUUCGGAUCGUAAACUCCUUUUGUUAGAGAAGAUAAUGACGGUAUCUAACGAAUAAGCACCGGCUAACUCCGUGCCAGCAGCCGCGGUACUACGGAGGGUGCAAGCGUUACUCGGACUCACUGGGCGUAAAGAGCGCGUAGGCGGGAUAGCAAGUCAGAUGUGAAAUCCUAUGGCUUAACCAUAGAACUGCAUUUGAAACUGUUAUUCUAGAGUAUGGGAGAGGGAGGUGGAAGUCUUGGUGUAGGGGUAAAAUCCGUAGAGAUCAAGAGGAAUACUCAUUGCGAAGGCGACCUGCUAGAACAUAACUGACGCUGAUGCGCGAAAGCGUGGGGAGCAAACAGGAUUAGAUACCCUAGUAGUC